rnacentral:rRNA from 1 species
AAUAUUGCACAAUGGGCGGAAGCCUGAUGCAGCGACGCCGCGUGGGGGAUGACGGCCUUCGGGUUGUAAACCUCUUUCGACAGGGACGAAGUGAAAAUGACGGUACCUGUAUAAGAAGCACCGGCUAACUACGUGCCAGCAGCCGCGGUAAUACGUAGGGUGCGAGCGUUGUCCGGAAUUACUGGGCGUAAAGAGCUCGUAGGUGGUUUGUCACGUCGUCUGUGAAAUUCCGGGGCUUAACCUCGGGCGUGCAAGCGAUACGGGCAAUACUUGAGUGCUGUAGGGGAGACUGGAAUUCCUGGUGUAGCGGUGAAAUGCGCAGAUAUCAGGAGGAACACCAAUGGCGAAGGCAGGUCUCUGGGCAGUUACUGACGCUGAGGAGCGAAAGCAUGGGUAGCGAACAGG